rnacentral:tRNA from 1 species
AGUAGAAUAGCUUAGCGGUCUAGAGCGGCCAGCUUAUAAACUGGCAGGUCAUUGGUUCGAAUCCAAUUUCUACGU